UACGUAGGGGCUAGCGUUAUCCGGAAUUACUGGGCGUAAAGGGUGCGUAGGUGGUUUCUUAAGUCAGAGGUGAAAGGCUACGGCUCAACCGUAGUAAGCCUUUGAAACUGGGAAACUUGAGUGCAGGAGAGGAGAGUGGAAUUCCUAGUGUAGCGGUGAAAUGCGUAGAUAUUAGGAGGAACACCAGUUGCGAAGGCGGCUCUCUGGACUGUAACUGACACUGAGGCACGAAAGCGUGGGUAGCAAACAGGAUUAGAUACCCCGGUAGUCCCUGAGCGGGCU
rnacentral:rRNA from 1 species